rnacentral:rRNA from 1 species
AUACGGAGGGGGCUAGCGUUGUUCGGAAUUACUGGGCGUAAAGCGCACGUAGGCGGAUUAAAAAGUUAGAGGUGAAAUCCCAGGGCUUAACCCUGGAACUGCCUUUAAAACUAGUAGUCUAGAGUUCGAGAGAGGUGAGUGGAAUUCCAAGUGUAGAGGUGAAAUUCGUAGAUAUUUGGAGGAACACCAGUGGCGAAGGCGGCUCACUGGCUCGAUACUGACGCUGAGGUGCGAAAGCGUGGGGAGCAAACAGAAUUAGAAACCCUAGUAGUCC